rnacentral:rRNA from 1 species
UGGGGAAUAUUGCACAAUGGGGGAAACCCUGAUGCAGCGACGCCGCGUGAGCGAAGAAGGUUUUCGAAUCGUAAAGCUCUGUCCUAUGAGAAGAUAAUGACGGUAUCAUAGGAGGAAGCCCCGGCUAAAUACGUGCCAGCAGCCGCGGUAAUACGUAUGUCGCGAGCGUUAUCCGGAAUUAUUGGGCUUAAAGGGCAUCUAGGCGGUUAAACAAGUUGAAGGUGAAAACCUGUGGCUCAACCAUAGGCUUGCCUACAAAACUGUAUAACUAGAGUACUGGAAAGGUGGGUGGAACUACACGAGUAGAGGUGAAAUUCGUAGAUAUGUGUAGGAAUGCCGAUGAUGAAGAUAACUCACUGGACAGCAACUGACGCUGAAGUGCGAAAGCUAGGGGAGCAAACAGG